rnacentral:rRNA from 1 species
GAUGAACGCUGGCGGCGUGCCUAAUACAUGCAAGUCGAGCGAACGGACGAGAAGCUUGCUUCUCUGAUGUUAGCGGCGGAGGGGUGAGUAACACGUGGAUAACCUACCUAUAAGACUGGGAUAACUUCGGGAAACCGGAGCUAACACCGGAUAAUAUUUUGAAACGCAUGGUUCAAUAGUGAAAGACGGUCUUGCUGUCACUUAUAGAUGGAUCCGCGCUGCAUUAGCUAGUUGGUAAGGUAACGGCUUACCAAGGCAACGAUGCAUAGCCGACCUGAGAGGGUGAUCGGCCACACUGGAACUGAGACACGGUCCAGACUCCUACGGGAGGCAGCAGUAGGGAAUCUUCCGCAAUGGGCGAAAGCCUGACGGAGCAACGCCGCGUGAGUGAUGAAGGUCUUCGGAUCGUAAAACUCUGUUAUUAGGGAAGAACAUAUGUGUAAGUAACUGUGCACAUCUUGACGGUACCUAAUCAGAAAGCCACGGCUAACUACGUG